rnacentral:rRNA from 1 species
UACGUAGGGGGCAAGCGUUGUCCGGAUUUAUUGGGCGUAAAGCGCGUGUAGGCGGCCAUGCAGGUCAGCUGUGAAAACUCGAGGCUCAACCUCGAGACGUCGGUUGAAACCGUAUGGCUAGAGUCCGGAAGAGGAGAGUGGAAUUCCCGGUGUAGCGGUGAAAUGCGCAGAUAUCGGGAAGAACACCCGUGGCGAAGGCGGCUCUCUGGGACGGUACUGACGCUGAGACGCGAAAGCGUGGGGGAGCGAACAGG